rnacentral:rRNA from 1 species
UACAGAGGGUGCAAGCGUUGUUCGGAAUUACUGGGCGUAAAGCGCGUGUAGGCGGCUUAGCAAGUCAGACGUGAAAUCCCUCAGCUUAACUGAGGAACUGCGCCUGAUACUGCUAGGCUUGAGUGUCGGAGGGGAUGGUGGAAUUCCCGGUGUAGAGGUGAAAUUCGUAGAUAUCGGGAGGAACACCCGUGGCGAAGGCGACCAUCUGGAAGACAACUGACGCUGAGACGCGAAAGCGUGGGUAGCAAACAGG